UCGAGAAUUUUUCUCAAUGGGCGAAAGCCUGAAGGAGCGACGCCGCGUGGGGGAUGAAUGGCUUCGGCCCGUAAACCCCUGUCAUUUGCGAACAAAUUGAUUCACCUAACACGUGUAUCAUUGAUUGUAGCGGAAGAGGAAGGGACGGCUAACUCUGUGCCAGCAGCCGCGGUAAUACAGAGGUCCCAAGCGUUGUUCGGAUUCACUGGGCGUAAAGGGUGCGUAGGCGGUCGGGUAAGUCUGAUGUGAAAUCUCACAGCUUAACUGUGAAACUGCAUUGGAUACUAUCCGGCUCGAGGAAUGGAGGGGAGACUGGAAUACUUGGUGUAGCAGUGAAAUGCGUAGAUAUCAAGUGGAACACCAGUGGCGAAGGCGAGUCUCUGGACAUUUCCUGACGCUGAGGCACGAAAGCCAGGGGAGCAAACGG
rnacentral:rRNA from 1 species